AUGAUCUAUUCCGCUCCAGAUUGGCCCACCCUUGAUGAGGUUGUAUCUAGUGUUCUUGAAGAGGAGACUCGGUUAUCAAACCACGUCAUGACCCCACAUGCAAGUGUUGACACUCGUGUUGCUCUCUCUUCACAUGCUCAUGCUACAUCUUUUGUUUCUUCUAACAAUGAUCAAGCAAAUUCUACUGAGUUUGAGUACAGGAGGAAACCAGAGGUAGUAUGUGAUCACAUCAAGCAAACUGGCCACAUAAAGAAGAAUUGUUUUGACCUGAUUGGAUAUCCACCUGGGUGGCAACAACGACAUGGCCGGCUCAAGUUUGGUGAUGCCCGAGGGAAGAAGCAAGAUCAUGUGCAUCUCGCUUCAUCCACAAGUGAAUUAUCAGCGGCAACUGCACAAGCUCUCGAGGAAUUUAAAUCAAAACUCUUAGCUGCAUCCAAUGAAGCUCCUAUUGGCUCUAUGUCCAGUUACCAUGCAUCUCAAGGAACUAAAGAUAGGGAAGGUACUUGGGACUGGCACCGAGCGUGA
rnacentral:rRNA from 1 species